UACGUAGGGUGCGAGCGUUGUCCGGAAUUACUGGGCGUAAAGAGCGUGUAGGCGGCCAGGUAGGUCGGUUGUGAAAACUGGAGGCUCAACCUUCAGAGGUCGACCGAAACCAUCUGGCUAGAGUCCGGGAGAGGAGAGUGGAAUUCCUGGUGUAGCGGUGAAAUGCGCAGAUAUCAGGAAGAACACCCGUGGCGAAAGCGGCUCUCUGGAACGGUACUGACGCUGAGACGCGAAAGCGUGGGGAGCGAACAGG
rnacentral:rRNA from 1 species